UUUUCUUUUUCUUCCUCCUGCUCUCCUCUCUGCUCUGGAGCCGCCAUGUGAUCCUGGCAAGAGAAGACGCCUGCUGCCAGCGUCUCCAUAGAUAAGUCUUUAUAUUAAUAGUUAUGGUUGAUAAUUAAGACUGAGCUAGCAUUUAAGAAAUCCUAGUCAAUUGGCCAACAGCAUUGUAAACUAAUAUAAGAUUCUGUGUGUUAUUCUGGGCGCCCAUGUGGCGGCGGGGUUUGGGCAGAUGGAGGAAAGACUUAUCGUUACAGCUUCCUUUUUGGCAGUGGAAUGACAUUAACACAGAGAACCACAAUGAUCAAAACAAACAUGCCCAAAUGGGACAUCUGUAUCAGAUCACUUCUCCCUAAGACUCAGAGAACAUCUUGUAAGGGAGGUGGAGAAGACCCAGGAGGACAACUGUGAAACAUGUCUCCUGGACAUGAGAAAGAUGUUGUUCCCAUGAAGUAAUGAUAUGGCUGUUUGCACAUGCUCUACACAAGACCACACUGAUCAGCGUUCCAGAAUGGAUGAAAGAAGGGCUCUCUGGUCCCUGCUCUGCUUGAAGAAGCUGCUGAAGGAAGGAGAGUCCACCAGUUCCCAUCAGGGUCAGGACUCUGCUCACAGGCCAAGGCCAGAUCCCCAGGCUCCUGUGAAACUGCAGAAACUGAAUUCACUGCAGAACAGUGGCUUUUGAAGCUGCACCUCCAGGAAGUAAG
rnacentral:lncRNA from 1 species